AUUGAACGCUGUCGGCAGGCCUAACACAUGCAAUUCGAACGAGUGGCGGACGGGUAGGUAAUGUCUUGGAAACUUCCUUAUGGAGGGGGAUUACUACUGGACACGGUAGCUCAUACCGCAUACCAUCAGAUGUGCCCAGAUGGGAUGAGCUUGUUGGUGGGUUAACGGCUCACCCAGGCGACGAUCCCUAGCUGGUCUGAGAGGAUGACCAGCCACACGGGAACUGAGACACGGUCCAGACUCCUACGGGAGGCAGCAGUGGGGAAUAUGGCAGAAUGGGCGCAAGCCUGAUGCAGCCAUGCCGCGGGUAUGAAGAAGGCCUUCGGGUUGUAAAGUACUUUCAGCGGGGAGGCGUUACCCGCAGAAGAAGCAACGGCUAACUCAGUGCCAGCAGCCGCGGUAAUAC
rnacentral:rRNA from 1 species